CCAAAAAUACAAUAAAAAUAGGAUUCUAAGAAUGAGAAAUUAAAGCUUAAAAUCAAUUAGAAUCUAUGUCUUAACAGAAGUUUAAAGUAGCAAUUUCACUGUAGAAUUUUUUUAUUUUAAUUGUAUACAUCUAUGGGUGUGACAUACACAGUGCAUACCAGAAGUUCAAAGUGUAUUCUCAUUGUCCCUUGUAUAUUAGAGUUUCUUUAUUGGUUUUCUACUACAUGUGGCAGCAUGGCUGUCCUAGACCGGUCCACAAGCUUCCGUGUUUCUGUGUUCUUCUCAUCCCUGAGCCACAUUUACACGAGUAUUACAUGUGUUCCUACUACUUGUCUAGCUUGUAUGUGGAUUCCCAGAACUUGAACACAGGUCCUCAUGCUUGUGCAGCAAGCUCUUUACCCAUCGUGUACUCCGAGCAGGAUUUAUAUUUACUUCAAUAGAAACCAUUCAACUGUCCAGUUGUCACAUCCACCCCUCAGGUCAUAUGCCCAAGUUACUGUCCAAAGGGUUCCAUGGGCAGGAACCCUUUGCUCUUUUUCCUACUGAUGGUCAGAGUCAUUUGUCACCUAGGAAACAACACCGAGCUUGUAAUGAAAAUAUUUGCUUGUUAUCAGCUGAAAGAAGAUUUUAAAAAAAAAAUCAUCCUUCAGAAACAGUGAUUUGUAUUUCAAAUUAGGAAGCAAAACCACAAUAGUAACAUUAAAUUAAACUAUACAGAUGUUUUAAUUUUCUUAUUAUAGUAGAAAAUGAAGAGUGUCUGAGAAGUGUUUAACUCCUUCAGUCCUCCCUGUGUCCCCUGUGGCUGGUGAAUUGUGCGUCUUCUUUAAAUUCUUAGACCAACUUUGCCAGGAAAGAAUCAGAGUAGGUGAGAAAGAAAUCUCCCAGAGGACAAUCAGAUGGGGAAGUGAACAUGGACAUCUAAACAACCACCGUCCAUGUUCUGGUAAGCAUAGUACUUCUUUAUAUUUGCCACUUGAUGCAAAUCUACUCAUUUAAGCUGCAGUUUAUUCUCAUUCCUGUGUUUAAUCCCAUUCUUUUUCUCCUAGGCAUUAAGCAUUGUUCUCUGCCUUUGUUGUUGUUGUUGUUGUGUAUUGCAUGCAAAUGAAUGUCAGAUGUAUACAUGUAUGUGCAUACAAAGUUCAUAGCUUGACACUGAGUAUCUUCUUUGACCACUCUAUUUUAUUGCCUAAAGACUAAUCCAGUCAGUUCAGUUCAUUUCUGGCUGGACGAGCUAUUCAGAAGCCACCUGGAAUUCACUUGUCUCAGCUGCUCAGUGAAGGGGUUUUAGACAUGGGCAGCCACGCUGGAGACUUGAACUCAGAUCUACAUGCAUGCAGAGCUCCAAGUUUCCAUUCCGCAGUGCUCUAAGAAUCCUGAAUUUUUAGUGAUUUGAAAUAUUACAUUUCUGAAACAUGCACAGAUUACUUUUCCAAAAUUCUCCUGGGAGAAAAUGGGUAAGAAGGGCAGUUUUGAAAGGAUUUUUUAAAAUUUUCUGUGGAACUCCAGUGAUUGCUCCAAAUUGGGUUAUAGUCACUUGAAAAUAGCACUUAUCAAAAAAUAUAGUUUAUAAGUCAGUAACGUGUUUGCUACUUCUCCUGCCCACAGUAAGGCAUAACUAUUUCUACCUUAUUUAGCCUUGAAUGAUCAUAUGAUUUCCAAGAGCAUCUAGUUUUCCUAAAGCUACUGGGAUUCUUCACACAUCCACUUAUUUUUUUGUGGAAUUUCUUCUUGUUUCUGUUUAGGUUUAUAAUGUAGGAAGCAUGGGCUAGGACAUAGAGGUGGAUGGACUUACCUGUGGACUUCUCCAUCAUUCCGGUAUACAGAAUUUUGACAAGCCUUUCCAUCAGCUGAAAGCAUGUACUUUCCCGAUGUGUCUUUUAUAAGGCUGAGAAGAUGGUAUUGACAAUGUAGGUUACCCACACACUUUCACCCCUGUGUUCAGAGUCGGCCAUCAACAGUAUUCUAGAUGUACAUGAUGGAGCUUGAAACUGCAGACAGUAGCAUCACACAGCCCCAUGUGUCAAGUUCAUGUUUGAGGUCUGAUGUCUGCUGAGGUUUUUACCUAAAAAGCCUUCAGUGGGAUUCAUAAAAGCAGAGAAAAAAAAAAGGAAGACUCUGCAAAUGCCUGAGUACCGUGGUGAAAAGAAUAUUAGUCAUUAUAAGGAGUAACCUUCACCCUUUAGCUUCAUUGUGAGGUACCAUUGACACAUCACAGGCCAUAGACUAUCAAGCAACACUCAUGCUGCCAUUGAUGGAAUGUGGGACGACGGAGUGGAUCUCGCCUUGCAAGAGGAAGGACCUUUCUCUCUAUUUCAUCCCCCUUUGAGAGUCAAGUCAGUGAUCACAACCGAUACGGAUUAGUGCCUUUUGUCUCUCGACACGUUGGUGCCCUCAUUCCAAGCUGGGCUAGAUUCUAGUAGGAAGCAAGUGGGCACCUGCUUCUUCAUGGUAGGAAUUCUGAGUCGUAGGGAGAUGGACCCAAGCAUAGUCUUUACCUUGGAGCUGGCAAGCACAAAUCAUUAGCCUGACGGUUGGAUUGGCAGGGAUCCAUUACCAAGAAUUUUACAUAAUCAGUAUGCUCAUGGCAACUGGUAAUAGACGGCGUACUUGAAAAUGAAGGGUAAAAUCUGCUUCAUGUGUUAGAUUAAUGGCUGCUUAACAGCCACAGAGGGCCACAGAAGAUUCCUCUCUGGAGGAAGGAAGCCCUGUCAGUCUCCUUCAUUCUUCAAGCCAUGGGUUCUUUCAAGUGUUUGAAACAGGGCAGACAGUAGCAUCACACAGCCCCUUAUGUCAAGUUCAUGUUUGAGGUCUGAUGUCUGUUGAGAUUUUUACCUAAAAAGCCUUCAGUGGGAUCCUUCUAAUCUAUGGGACCAUUUCUUCAUCAAAAUAUAAAAUAAAUUCCUUUGUCAGUCCAGGAGUGAGAUCCACUCAAGAAAGGCGGAGGGCAGAUUUCCAGUUCUCUGAUGGUGAUUAACUCUUCAUUUUUCUCUUCAGAAUUUAUACUAGGAGAACAUUUAUAAACAAUGAAUGGUUCAUUUUCAAAUAAUAGCAUUGUUACCCACUCCAAUGCCCUGGUGUCCUCCUUCUGGAUUACCGGCUUACCCUUUGCGGUCUCGUUUUUGAAACAGGGUACUCGCUGACUAUGGCUGGCACUGUUGGUGUUUCACACAUGUCCUUACCAAGCCUUCCUUUUCAUUUGUCCCUGCCUUUUCAAGUGACAGGUGGUUAGUUAGACACUCAAGAGACCUAAGCCUAAAAGCACACCCUAGUGCUGGGACCAUGGGCCUGGGCCAGGAUGAAUGCUUGUUAGGAAUUCAGUUAUUCAGCCAACACUGAGCUGUUACUCUGUAGGUUGUAGGGCUUGGCUCUGUUAUAAAGCGUCCCCCGCUCCCAUGGCAUGUUAGAUUUUCUCAGGUGACAAUAAACACCGUGAGAUGUUCCUGCUUUCAUCAUCCUUGGCACUCCCUUUAUGUUACCAUCUGGCUGACUUGACUCAUAUAUGCUAUCCACCUGGCAUGGGGAAAGUAGCUGGGCUUUGGAUCUCUGAUCCUAAGACCUGACAUUCCUAAGGACCUCAAAUAUAAUCUAAGUAAUACUGGCACGUGGAUGUGUGUGACCCUUUAUGUCUCCUGACACUAGGAGAUUUGUCUGUCUUAAUUCUCUUCUCUGCAAAAAUCCCCAAGGUUUUGUAUGCCAACAGAAUAGAGCACAAGUGGACGAUCAGUAGUCAGUAUGUGAAUGUUACUAGACAAGGAGAAAGAGGGGCUGGGAUAGAAUUCCACGUUAAGCACUGCUUAUUGAUAUCACCUUUGCAGGGGUGGGACCGGAGAGCAUAGCUGGGAGGACAGAACAAAGCUCCAACAAGCUCUGAAUGAAGAACACACCUGUAGCCCAAUAAUUAAUUUGAUAGCUUUAUAGGGUCACUCUCCUCUCUGUACCUCUUUUUUUUUUUGGACCAAUUACUUUCAAUAAUGAUGGCAAGCCAGCUUCUACCCCUGACUGUGUUAGAGAUUAUAAUGUCAAAAGGCCUUUGUAAUGUCUUGUGUGUCUUCAUAAACCUGUCAGCUGAGGUUACAUUAUUUUCUAAUUUCCAUCAGGGAACCAUGGGGUGGUCCAGCUGGGCAAGGAUUCCAGGUCAUGGUGUGUGAUUUCAGACUGGUGGGAUGUGCCAUGUCCCAUCACUGUCCCAUCCCUGCCACGGCUGUGUAGCCAUACAUGUCAGAGAACAGACUCUCUUUUAAUGAGGACGACACUGACAUUUUGAUGGGAUGUUAUCUUGUGUGCUGUGAGGAAGCUUGUUGAUAAGCUCAUGCUUCCUUCCUUGGUUAUAAGUUGUGCUUUUGUGAAUAUCAUCCAUCACAUCAGAUGAUUCAUUUUGCUCAAGUAUAAUUUUGGGAUCAUUAUUUUUAAAAUCUCAUUACUGACUGAUAAAGGUUCAGCAAUCUCCCCUUAACCUAUGGCCUAGUAUUCAGGAUAUCAUCUGCAGUGCUUUGGAGGUAAAAAAUUAUAAUAGAUGUCUUCCUUGUAAUUCUGCUUUGAGUCAGAUUCUAACCUCAACACUGGCCAUUUAAGGACAAGCAGAAUUCACCACUGCCCCUGCCUCUUAGAGGCUUGCCAGAACAGAAUGACUAUCUCAGUUUAUUCUAUCUCUGAUGAACCAUUCCCAUAAGGAAAGCCGGUCACAUCAAAGCUAGUCAUAGCCUUUCCAGGAUGGAAGAACUCCUUUACAACAGCAACCCAAAGUUAAAAACAUUCAAACAACAACCCUAGAUUUUCAAGAAGUCCUCUUGGUUCAGGAUCAGAUGCAUUUAUCAUGACUGGACUUAAGGGAGGAGCACACAUUUCAUAGGACACCUUGUACUUUCUGAAGGCAUUAUUUUCACAGGGUAAGUGUUACUGUACCUUUAGCAGAGCAAAGACCUGGACAGGUCAUAUGUUGUAUCCAAAUGCACUUGGGCCAUAAGGAAUAGAGCAGGGAUCCAAGCCCAGUUGUGUCAAUGGACAGUUAAGUCAUCACAGAAGCAAGUGUGCAUUGUCACACUGGAGACAGUGGCCUGAUUGACUGCUUCUAAAAG
rnacentral:sRNA from 1 species